rnacentral:rRNA from 1 species
GACGUAGGGUGCGAGCGUUGUCCGGAUUUAUUGGGCGUAAAGAGCUCGUAGGCGGCUCGUCGCGUCAGCUGUGAAAACCCGCGGCUUAACCGUGGGCUUGCAGCUGAUACGGGCGGGCUAGAGUUCGGUAGGGGAGACUGGAAUUCCUGGUGUAGCGGUGAAAUGCGCAGAUAUCAGGAGGAACACCGGUGGCGAAGGCGGGUCUCUGGGCCGAUAUUGACGCUGAGGAGCGAAAGCGUGGGGAGCGAACAGG